rnacentral:rRNA from 1 species
UACGUAGGAGGCGAGCGUUGUCCGGAAUUACUGGGCGUAAAGCGCACGUAGGCGGCUUUGUAAGUUAGAGGUGAAAGCCCAGGGCUUAACCCUGGAAUUGCCUUUAAGACUGCAUCGCUAGAAUUGUGGAGAGGUAAGUGGAAUUCCGAGUGUAGAGGUGAAAUUCGUAGAUAUUCGGAAGAACACCAGUGGCGAAGGCGACUUACUGGACACAUAUUGACGCUGAGGUGCGAAAGCGUGGGGAGCAAACAGG